UACGGAGGGUGCGAGCGUUAUCCGGAUUUACUGGGUUUAAAGGGUGUGUAGGCGGGCUGGUAAGUCAGGGGUGAAAUCCCGGAGCUCAACUCCGGAACUGCCUUUGAUACUACUGGUCUUGAAUAUUGUUGAGGUGGGCGGAAUGUGUCAUGUGAAGCGGUGAAAUGCAUAGAUAUGACACAGAACACCGAUUGCGAAGGCAGACUCA
rnacentral:rRNA from 1 species